rnacentral:RNase_P_RNA from 1 species
GAAGCGCGCCAGACCGCCGCUGGCACGAGACCCGAAAGGGUGUGCUGGAGGAACGUCCGGACUGCACAGGGCAGCGUAGGAGGUAACACCUCUCCACCGACAAGCCCCGAGGGUUCGCCCGAGGGGCCCUAAGGUGAGGAUCAGAGCAACAGAGACGAGCCGAUUCAGUUCGGGUGAAACGGGCAAUCUCUACGCGCAGCAACACCAAAUAGGCCAGCGUUGAUGUGGUCCCGCGGAGCUGGCGGGUAGGUGGCAUCGAGCCGUCCGGGUGACCGGCGGCCCAGAAGAAUGGCGGUCACGUUCCGGGCAACCGGGACGCACAGAAUCCGGCUUAUCGGCGCGCUUCACAC